UGCGAAUGCUGACAUAAGUAACGAUAAAGCGGGUGAAAAGCCCGCUCGCCGGAAGACCAAGGGUUCCUGUCCAACGUUAAUCGGGGCAGGGUGAGUCGACCCCUAAGGCGAGGCCGAAAGGCGUAGUCGAUGGGAAACAGGUUAAUAUUCCUGUACUUGGUGUUACUGCGAAGGGGGGACGGAGAAGGCUAUGUUGGCCGGGCGACGGUUGUCCCGGUUUAAGCGUGUAGGCUGGUUUUCCAGGCAAAUCCGGAAAAUCAAGGCUGAGGCGUGAUGACGAGGCACUACGGUGCUGAAGCAACAAAUGCCCUGCUUCCAGGAAAAGCCUCUAAGCAUCAGGUAACAUCAAAUCGUACCCCAAACCGACACAGGUGGUCAGGUAGAGAAUACCAAGGCGCUUGAGAGAACUCGGGUGAAGGAACUAGGCAAAAUGGUGCCGUAACUUCGGGAGAAGGCACGCUGAUAUGUAGGUGAAGUCCCUCGCGGAUGGAGCUGAAAUCAGUCGAAGAUACCAGCUGGCUGCAACUGUUUAUUAAAAACACAGCACUGUGCAAACACGAAAGUGGACGUAUACGGUGUGACGCCUGCCCGGUGCCGGAAGGUUAAUUGAUGGGGUUAGCGCAAGCGAAGCUCUUGAUCGAAGCCCCGGUAAACGGCGGCCGUAACUAUAACGGUCCUAAGGUAGCGAAAUUCCUUGUCGGGUAAGUUCCGACCUGCACGAAUGGCGUAAUGAUGGCCAGGCUGUCUCCACCCGAGACUCAGUGAAAUUGAACUCGCUGUGAAGAUGCAGUGUACCCGCGGCAAGACGGAAAGACCCCGUGAACCUUUACUAUAGCUUGACACUGAACAUUGAGCCUUGAUGUGUAGGAUAGGUGGGAGGCUUUGAAGUGUGGACGCCAGUCUGCAUGGAGCCGACCUUGAAAUACCACCCUUUAAUGUUUGAUGUUCUAACGUUGACCCGUNNNNNNNNNNNNNNNNNNNNNNNNNNNNNNNNAUCCGGGUUGCGGACAGUGUCUGGUGGGUAGUUUGACUGGGGCGGUCUCCUCCUAAAGAGUAACGGAGGAGCACGAAGGUUGGCUAAUCCUGGUCGGACAUCAGGAGGUUAGUGCAAUGGCAUAAGCCAGCUUGACUGCGAGCGUGACGGCGCGAGCAGGUGCGAAAGCAGGUCAUAGUGAUCCGGUGGUUCUGAAUGGAAGGGCCAUCGCUCAACGGAUAAAAGGUACUCCGGGGAUAACAGGCUGAUACCGCCCAAGAGUUCAUAUCGACGGCGGUGUUUGGCACCUCGAUGUCGGCUCAUCACAUCCUGGGGCUGAAGUAGGUCCCAAGGGUAUGGCUGUUCGCCAUUUAAAGUGGUACGCGAGCUGGGUUUAGAACGUCGUGAGACAGUUCGGUCCCUAUCUGCCGUGGGCGCUGGAGAAUUGAGGGGGGCUGCUCCUAGUACGAGAGGACCGGAGUGGACGCAUCACUGGUGUUCGGGUUGUCAUGCCAAUGGCACUGCCCGGUAGCUAAAUGCGGAAGAGAUAAGUGCUGAAAGCAUCUAAGCACGAAACUUGCCCCGAGAUGAGUUCUCCCUGACUCCUUGAGAGUCCUGAAGGAACGUUGAAGACGACGACGUUGAUAGGCCGGGUGUGUAAGCGCAGCGAUGCGUUGAGCUAACCGGUACUAAUGAACCGUGAGGCUUAACCUU
rnacentral:rRNA from 1 species